UGUGCAUACUCUUUUAAGAUAAAGGCAACAUAUCCUAAGACUACGCCGAUUGUUUUCUUCUUAGUUAACAAUACAACUCUGAACAUCUAGGGGCGCUGUUCUACAGCCAUUCCAAAUUGCCGAAGUUGAAAGCGCUCGAUGUUAUUAUGACAUAAUAUAUGGCGUAGUGCUGCAAUGAGGAAAUGUGAACAAUAUUGCUCCACAAAGCAUACCUCACAAACACCACGCAGCAAUAAUUGAUGGAAGGGGUCCUGAACCGGUAGCAGAAGCACCUCUCCAUCACCACUCUCCACAAAUGCUCGGACACAUUGCCACAGUAAAAUAUCCAAAACCUCUUGUUAACAACAGAAACAAAAGAAGGGGAAGAGAAAAUGGUUGGAGACAGCGGAAAACAAUGAAUGAAAAACAAAUCCUAUGGACUAUCAGAAAUACCGCCGGGGGUAAGGUUAUUUAAGAGUUAAUCCCACAAACUAUAAGAGCAGAAGGAUCUAGACCAACUAAAAGACAUGAAAGGCAAAAGGAAACAGGGCAUGAAAGGAUAGCAGCCACCUAGAUGAUUCCAUAAGGGAAACAGUUGUACAUAACAAAUGAAGUACAAAACUUGGCUUGGCACACUCCUAAUGCUAAAGCAAGCAUGGACCCAUUCCCCAUACCCAAACUAUAGUUUAUAGCCAAGCCAAAAAGAAAAUCCAUGUUAUUUCUUCUUAUUACACCAAUCUCCAACUCGAGUACGAAGGAGUAGACAUCUAAGUUGUUUCACAUGAGCAUGUAGAUUAUUUUGCAGAUCCAUUAAUCCCAAGGUAAACCAAUUAGCCUGCGCAACAAGCUUAAAUUUUCUUUUUUAAUAACAAUGGUGUUCAAGCCAGCGUGAGCUCUCGACUAUCCGUGGGGUACCUGCUACCUCCUACCGGCACAAGUAUGAGAUAACUCUCCCCAUGAACUUAGAUAGAUGAGAAGAGCUCAUUGUCGGUUCUACUGGAACUCGAAUAUGGGUUCCCAAGGUUGUCACUUCAACUCAGCAAUCACUGGCCGCCUCCCUUGGAGGCUCAACAAGCUUAAACUUCUAUCAGAACCUUAAUACAUACCAACUCGGUGUUUGCUGCAACAUUUUCAGAACAAUAACAGAUGCAAUAGCUGAAUAACAUCUGCAUAAAAACAACGCAUAUAGAAGAACAAAUUGAAGACAGGGGACCCAAUAAUUCUCAGGAAUAAUACCUCACAGCGGCUGACCAAUUCAGGGAGAAAGUUACGUCGAAGUGCCUCUCUUAUUCGACAAUCCACUCUAUGCAAUGCAGUCAACACCACAACCUCAUCAUUAUCCACACAAUUUUUCUGCUUCGAUGUUUUCGUAAUUUUUCUCCUCCUCCUCCUCCUCCUCCUCUUUCACAGCCUUGUUGCCUUCUGUUUGCGAGGUUGUUACGGAGACCAGGUUGUAGAACUGUUAAAACUCAAGUAAGCAGUCAUAAGAUGACCAUAAAUGAUAAGUCCACAUAUCACAUAUCAGAUUAGCUGUCAUAUGUGCAUUCACUUUUAAGGUAAAGGCAACAUAUCCUAAGACUAUGCAGAUUGUUUUCUUCUUACUUAACAAUACAACUCUGAACAUCUAGGGGCACUGUUCUACAGCCAUUCCAAAUUCCCGAAGUUGAAGCAGUGCUCAAUGUUAUUAUGACAUAAUAUAUGGCGUAGUGCUGCAAUGAGGAAAUGUAAACAAUAUUGCUCCACAAAGCAUACCUCACAGACACCAGUAAUUAUGACAUAAUAUAUGACGUAGUGCUGCAAUGAGGAAAUGUAAACAUUAUUGCUCCACAAAGCAUACCUCACAAACACAUAACCGAUGGAAGGGGUCCUGAACCCGUAGCACAAGCACCUCUCCAUCACCACUCUCCACAAAUGCUCGGACACAUUGCUACAGUAAAAUAUCCAAAACCUCUUGUUAACAACAGAUACAAAAGAAGGGGAAGAGAAAAUGGUUGGAGAGGCAGCGUAAAACAAUGAAAAUGUAAAAAUCAAAUUCUAUGGACUAUCAGAAAUACCACCCGGGGUAAGGUUAUUUAAGAGUUAAUCCCACAAACUAUAAGAGCAGAAGGAUCUAGACCAACUAAAAGACAUGAAAGGGAAAAGGAAACAGGGCAUGAAAGGAUAGCAGCCACCUAGAUGAUUCCAUAAUGGAAACAGUUGUACAUAACAAAUGUACAAAACUUGGCUUGGCACACUCCUAAUGCUAAAGCAAGCAUGGACCCAUUCCCCACACCCAAACUAUAGUUUAUAGCCAAGCCAAAAAGAAAAUCCAUGUUAUUUCUUCUUAUUACACCAAUCUCCAACUCGAGUACGAAGGAGUAGACAUCUAAGUUGUUUCACAUGAGCAUGUAUCUUCUUAUUACACUAAUCUCCAACUCGAGUACGAAGGAGUAGACAUCUAAGUUGUUUCACAUGAGCAUGUAGAUUAUGUUGCAGAUACAUUAAUCCCAAGGUAAACCAAUUAGCCAGCGCAACAAGCUUAAAUUAUUUUUUUUUAAUAACAAUGGUGUUCAGGCCAGCGUGCGCCCUCGACUAUCCGUGGGGUACCUGCUACCUCCUACCGGCACAAGUAUGAGGUAACUCUCCCCAUGAACUUAGAUAGAUGAGAAGAGCUCAUUGUCGGCUCUACUGGAACUCGAAUAUGGGGUUCCCAAGGUUGUCACUUCAACUCAGCAAUCACUGGCCAGCUCCCUUGGAGGCUCAACAAGCUUAAACUUCUAUCAGAACCUUAAUACAUAUCAAGUCGGUGUUUGCUGCAACAUUUUCAGAACAAUAACAGAUGCAAUAGCUGAAUAACAUCUGCAUAAGAACAACGCAUAUAGAAGAACAAAUUGAAGACAGGGGACCCAAUAAUUCUCAGGAAUAAUACCGAACAACGCAUACAGAAGAACAAAUUGAAGACAGGGGGCCCAAUAAUUCUCAGGAAUAAUACCUCAUAGCGGCUGACCAAUUCAGGGAGAAACUUACAUCGAAGUGCCUCUCUUGUUCAACAAUCCACUCUAUGACAUGCAGUCAACACAGCAACCUAAUCAUUAUCCACGCAAUUUUUUCGCUUUGAUGUUUUGCCUUCAAGAGCAUCCAUUAUGGGUAGCCUAACCAAAUAAGAGCAUAUAGAAGACCAUAAGACAAUUUUGAAACAUCACAAGUCAAAUUCUAAGAAAGAGCGUCACUACGAUGAACAAAAUAAAAAUGCAAACUUUUGAAACAGAGGGGUGAAGACAUACAUACUACAUCAAGAGUUAAACAUGAAUUUCAUAUAGUAAAAUAAUUAUUCAAUAAUGAAUUGUGCCUUAAUACGUAGUUCAAUUGAACUAUGAAGUAACAACAGGCCUUUCAUAUCGCUAAAUUGUCCUAAGGAGGAAAACCAAAGGAAAGAAUGCAUGCUUAUCAAAAACGAAGGGGGUGAAAAUACAUAUCGUAGAAAGAAGUCAUAGUUUUUAUUGUAAACACUGCUCGAAGUAAAUGUUGCCUGGUUUUUAGGAAGUAAAUACACUUUACGGAAACAGGAAAACAUAAUAACCUCCUUAUCCAUGUCUAUAUUCCUGAAUUUGUCCCCCUUCUCCACAUUCGUCAAGCAAAAUACUGAGAGUGGCACAUCAUCACCCGCAGAAAAAGAAAUAUUAAUGUGUUAAUAUCAGAAAUAAAAUUUAGCAUGUAAUAAGUUCAAUAGAAAAGUACUUACUCUUAAAAAAAAAAGUUCAAUCGAAAAAUAUAUAUAUUUGAAAAAAGAAUAUGAACAGCCGAAGAGCUUCUAUAUGACUAAGAUGAAAUGCUAUGUGGAUCACCAUUUAAAUCAGGCAGUUUAUCUUUACUUCUAAUACAUGUGAUGAAUUUGUGUAAUAUAAAAGGGAGUAUUUAAUAACUCAGAGUAGUAGAUAUUAAUUAUUUUUGUUAAAAUUCUAAAUUUUGUUAUAAUUCUAUAUUAGAAACAGUUGAGGUAUGCAACAAACAACUUGAGCAGUCUUGUAGCGUAGCAUUAUUGAAACUUAAAAUAUCCAUACUGCAUAUUUAAACAACUUUAAUAUGUAAUCUCUUUUCCGAGGACAUGACCCUUGAUAGGGGAGUUUGGAGGUCUAGAAUCAGGGUUGUAGGCUAGG
rnacentral:lncRNA from 1 species